AGACAUCCCCACCCCUACGCUGGGACUGGUGAAAGAGGAAGAGGAGGAGUGGGGCCGGGCAGCCCACCCUCCUCCUUCUUACAGAAGAAGAAACUGAGGCCCGGGGAAGGGAAGGGACCCGAGAGGUCACGGUCCAGCCCCCUCUGUUUACAGAUGGGGAAACUGAGGCCGGAGGAAAGGAAAUGAUUAUCAAAGGGCCCAACCAAGUUCAGGGGUGCAGCCAAGACGGCAGAGCAAAGGAGUUUAAUUGUGAAAGGGAAGAGGAAUGGCUUCUUGAGGGGAUGCUAAGCAUCCAGAUCACAGAGUUCUGAAAAAUUCCAUUGUGGAAACACAAACAUCUUUGCCUCCUUUCUUCCCAUAAGAGGUGCCCCAACCUUGAUGCCUCAUGGUGGGAGCAAAUGCCAAGAUUGGACAUCACAGGCCCAGAACAAGCAGAGGGGGGCCGCCAAUGGUCCGGCCCCCCCCCCACUGCCCAGGACAGCUAAGGCAGGCAAUGUGGUUGCAGGCAUCCACACAGGCCUGGAUGGCAGGGGCCGCCUGCUUUAGGCUGGCACAGAAUUCCUGACUGUGCCCAGACUCCAGACCGUUCCCUGAUGAGGAAGCCAAGAGGAGAAGGAAAGGUUUGAAAGCGGGAGAGAACUGGGCAGAGGAGGUCAUAGAUCCAGGCUAGGAAGGACCUCAGGGGUUGUCCCCUCCCCUGCCUUCUCCCUGCCUCCCCACCCCCCAUUUUUGCAAAGGAGAAAACUGAGGCCCAGAGAAGGGAGGUGACUUUCCCAAGGUCACAUAGGUGUUAUACAUCAGAGGUGUGUUUUGAGCCCAGGUGUCCUCUGCCCCCAAAGCUGGCCAGUCCCCUUUCCGCUGAACUGGUCCCUCUGCCCAAUCCAGGAUCUUCGCUAACCCUAACCCUGUUUUCUCCCCAUACUUCCACCUUGGACCAGUAGCCCUGCCUCGUGGGCCCAGGAGCUGAGCAGCACACAAGACACCCCCAGGGCCUCAGCCCUGUUCCCUGCCCUCACCUAUCUUCUCCAGGGCAGCCUUCACCAGCCCAUCCCUCUGCCAUCGCUGCUGGAACACAAGCUCAGUGCAUGGCAUCCACGGGGCAGCCUCCUCCCCAGCAAACUCUGACCCCCCUGAAGAGCCGUUCUGGAGCAGUGACUCUGCAGCUUGGGGCACUGACAAAUGGAGUGAACUGCCCAAGAUGACUGGGCCAGCUUGGGUCAGAGGUCAGAGAUUCAAGGGUUAGUUCUCUCUUCCUCCUCCCCGCCCCAGCCUGUCGCCAGAAACCUGAGGCUGAAUCCCGGUGAGACCCCAAACUAUUCAUGGAGAUAAAAGUGGCUGAAGAGGAAGACGGUCUGGGCAAGCAGGACAUUGAUGGAGACAGUGCACUUCUGACCCCCAGCUGGACCACCCAGAGAAGAUCCAAGUCAGAGCAGCUGGGCCAGGAGCCUCCCAGCUGUGCCCCCAAAAGCUUCUCCUCAAACCCAUACCUUUCUAACCUCUACCUCCAGGGCACCGAUUUCCCCAGAAGUAGCCUCACUGUGAUGUGACAAAGUUUUAAAUUCUGCUGUCUUUGGAAUCCGUUUGUUGAAGUCUGUACAGUCUCUGAGCCACAGUGCCUUGGAGCACGGCCCUUUCUGUUGUCCUGGUUUCAGCCCUCUCUUGUCUCACCGUAAAGAGCCAUCAUCACGUGGCUCUUACUUCUGAAGCCUGAGAAAUACUGAUGCUAGCUGGGGUGUCCUGGGUGGGUUCUUGCCCUCAGGAGGCUUCCCUUGGCCCUUACCAGAGUACCUCAGCAGUAUGGAAUAGUUGAGACUGAACAGAGGAUGGGUUUGGGUUAACUUGGGUUGACUGGUUUCUCUUAUUUACUGCGUGUAUGCAAGUCCCCAGAUCUAUCUGGGGUGGGAGAGGGGCACCCCUUUCUCAUAAGACACAAGCUACUAAACUCCAAAGUUGGUGAAGUACUUUACAAAAAUUAGUGCACUGCUAUCCCCCUUGUGCAAAUAGGGAAAUUGAAGCAAGUUCGCCUCUCCAAACCUCAGUCUGCCUGCGCCUACUAAGUAUCCAUGGAGUAAAAUCCGUGUAUCCCCAAAUUUGGCCCCAAAGAAGAGAUAUGAGUAUGCACCUCCCUCCCUCCAUUGCAGAUGUGGGGAACUAUGGGUGCGGACUAUUGUCAGACCGGACUGAUGACACGUUAGUUCAUUUUGUUGGACUGACUUUUUUUCCUUUCCCUUUUUUGUUCUAUGUUAUAAGGAAUGGCUGGAGGUGGGGGCAGGCAGUGCAAAAGAGAUGUCUUAGGAAAUGAAGGUGAAUGAAGAAAAGAACC